CGGACGGGUGAGUAACACGUGGAUAACCUACCUAUAAGACUGGGAUAACUUCGGGAAACCGGAGCUAAUACCGGAUAAUAUAUUGAACCGCAUGGUUCAAUAGUGAAAGACGGUUUUGCUGUCACUUAUAGAUGGAUCCGCGCCGCAUUAGCUAGUUGGUAAGGUAACGGCUUACCAAGGCAACGAUGCGUAGCCGACCUGAGACGGGUGAUCGGCCACACUGGAACUGAGACACGGGUCCAGACUCCUACGGGAGGCAGCAGUC
rnacentral:rRNA from 1 species